rnacentral:tRNA from 1 species
ACCUUUGUGGCGCAGCGGUAGUGCGCUUGUCUGUCACACCGGAGGUCCCGGGUUCGAAUCCCGGCCAUGGCA